rnacentral:rRNA from 1 species
GACGAACGCUGGCGGCGUGCCUAAUACAUGCAAGUCGAACGCUUCUUUCCUCCCGAGUGCUUGCACUCAAUUGGAAAGAGGAGUGGCGGACGGGUGAGUAACACGUGGGUAACCUACCCAUCAGAGGGGGAUAACACUUGGAAACAGGUGCUAAUACCGCAUAACAGUUUAUGCCGCAUGGCAUAAGAGUGAAAGGCGCUUUCGGGGGUCGCUGAUGGAUGGACCCGCGGUGCAUUAGCUAGUUGGUGAGGUAACGGCACACCAAGGGCACGAUGCAUAGCCGACCUGAGAGGGUGAUCGGCCACACUGGGACUGAGACACGGCCCAGACUCCUACGGGAGGCAGCAGUAGGGAAUCUUCGGCAAUGGACGAAAGUCUGACCGAGCAACGCCGCGUGAGUGAAGAAGGUUUUCGGAUCGUAAAACUCUGUUGUUAGAUAAGAACAAGGACGUUAGUAACUGAACGUCCCCUGACGGUAUCUAACCAGAAAGCCACGGCUAACUACGUG